rnacentral:rRNA from 1 species
UACGAAGGGGGCUAGCGUUGUUCGGAAUUACUGGGCGUAAAGGGCGCGUAGGCGGUGUGUCAAGUCAGGCGUGAAAGCCCCGGGCUCAACCUGGGAACCGCGCUUGAGACUGGCACGCUCGAGUUCGGGAGAGGAUGGUGGAAUUCCCAGUGUAGAGGUGAAAUUCGUAGAUAUUGGGAAGAACACCGGUGGCGAAGGCGGCUCUCUGGACCGAUACUGACGCUGAGGCGCGGAAAGCGUGGGGAGCAAACAGG